CCUGACGACCGCGCCGCCACCAUGCUCAUCAAGACGCUCUACGUCCUCUUCCAAGGCGUGCUGCAGGACAGACAUCAACUCCGCUGCGAAAAGCAGCCUAACGACUGUCCAUCUGGCCGUGCCAAUGGCUCCGUACCACCUACCGUCGGCAGAGAACCACACCACCCCGCCAGGCGGCAGGCGGCGCUGCCAGCGCUCCGCCUGCCAGUGCUGAGGAAUUCGGGCCGUCCAGUCCCGAUGACCUGGUUCCGCCCAGUCCGGGUGAUGUCACCUACUCAACCAGCCCAAACGCCGCCCUGUGGUGCUCGCUCCAGAGACUGUUGACGUCCCCUGCGCCCCGCGCGGCGGUCCUCCGACUCGCCCGGUGCCUGAGACUGCUCCGCCGCCGCCGCCGCCAGUGGUCUGGGUACCCGAGACUCUCGAGAGCUCACCGGCUCGCCGCGGCCACCGUCCGUGCCCGGUGGCCGAGACGGUACAGCUGCCGGCUACCCACCACGACCAGUGCGGCCUACAGACCCGGUGAGCCCCGUGCUGACCGCCCGAACGCCGGCGACUCGACGGGCCCGCCGCCGCGCCGGAGCUACCGCCAGUCCGCGGCAGUCGCAGGGAGCGGCUCCGGCGGUGGCGAGGGGCACACACGUGGCGACACCGCAGAACGAGAGACGCGCAGAGGUUGCUAGUCCUACACCGAGUCUGAGUUCGCCUCUGCUGCUGCCUCAGCACCCACCGGGAAGAGCCCGACGUCCACCGACGACCGAGCCGACCCCUGCCGAGCUGCCGAAAAGAAACGGUGGAAAACCGGCUGGCAGCGCAGUUCCAGCGACAUCUGUGCGUCCCACUGCGGGAAAAGGUCAUGGCGAGGGAGACCAGCCAGCAGCGUCGGGACGCACACAGUCCCAAGGGGCGUGCCAAACCCAUUCUCGAUCUCCGAAUAAGAGGAAACGUCUCAUCAUUGGUCCGGGGGAACCAGUGCCACCACGAAAACGUAAGCAGUCGGUGUCUCCACAGAAGAAAGCACCCCAAGAGCGCACUGCUGCAGGAUGCUCAUCUGGCUCAAACUUCCGCACAGGAGUUUCGGAGCAACCAGCCUCCAGGACUCCAACGAAGGCCCCUGCUGGAGCGCACACUACGGUAACAUCGACUAAAAGAGCCGCUCCCUCGAUAUUUGAAUUGGAAAUCGAUUCGAAUAAGACAGGUGAAACCUCCACCUCGAACAAAACUAAACGAACGUCUCCCAGACGAAAGGCGACUCCGCCGAGUCUGAAUGAGGAGCGGCGGGCUGGGGGAGCUGCGCCAGAGUCUGCCCAGACUGACGAGACGCCUUUGGGACUGGACGUGCUGAUGGAGGAGCUAAACCGCGACAAACAAGGAACUAAUAACGGGGCAGAUGUGCAUGCCCAGCAGCACGGCAAUGAUAGGGCUCAGGCUAUAACAGAGGGCGGCGCUGAACAGUCUCGGACGGAGAGAGAAGGAGCUGCCGUCGGGAGGGACGGUAGAUCUGAUGGAGACGAGGUUAUGGCGCCGCCGGCCGAGCCGCCGGAACAUGACUCCCAGGAGGAGACACAGAUGGACAGUAUGAUAUUGGGCGACGAGCAGCUGGUGGCGGGCCCAGCUCGCCGGUACGCAGCCAGUCCGGUCCGCCGGCGGGCCGACCGCCAGAGACUACCCGGCUGGUCGUGUGCCGUCUGCAAGGAGUGGUACUCCGACCGGAACAUGACCGACGAGGAGCUGCGGGCUCAUAUGAACCGGUGCAGCCGACAUAGACAGCAGGAGCCGCCGCCGCCCGAUACGCCGCCAGAGUUCUGGGACCCGGUCGCCUUCCCUGCCACGGAUAUCACCCAGUACGGCGCCGUCACCCCCCGCCCCAGGCCUCGUAGGAGACUGUGAGCGGGGUCAUGGACCGCCCAACAGACGGCCAGGUACAGACGGCAACAGACGGCCAAGGAGGACCUCGGCCAGGAGAGGGACCAGCGCCUACCUGCAGUGUGCUGCUCUGGAGUCGUCGUCGAACGCGCACCGGAGCCUCCAGCGCCUUCUCCUC
rnacentral:misc_RNA from 1 species